rnacentral:rRNA from 1 species
GACGAACGCUGGCGGCGUGCUUUACACAUGCAAGUCGAACGAGAACCUUCCUUCGGGAAGCAGAGAGUGGCGAACGGGUGAGUAACACGUGGGCAACCUACCCCUCACACUGGGAUAACCUCGGGAAACCGGGGCUAAUACCAGAUACUCACGUCCUCAGGCAUCUGAGGACGUGGAAAGGAUUCUGGUGAGGGAUGGGCCCGCGGCCUAUCAGCUAGUUGGUGGGGUAAUGGCCUACCAAGGCGACGACGGGUAGCCGGCCUGAGAGGGCGACCGGCCACACUGGGACUGAGACACGGCCCAGACUCCUACGGGAGGCUGCAGUGGGGAAUAUUGCGCAAUGGACGAAAGUCUGACGCAGCAACGCCGCGUGAGGGAUGAAGUACGUCGAGAUGUAAACCUCUUUCAGCAGGGACGAAGCGAAAGUGACGGUACCUGCAGAAGAAGGACCGGCUAACUACGUG